rnacentral:rRNA from 1 species
CUCGUAGGCGGCUCGGUAAGUCGGGUGUGAAACCUCCAGGCUCAACCUGGAGACGCCACCUGAUACUGCUGUGGCUAGAGUCCGGUAGGGGAGCGUGGAACUCCUGGUGUAGCGGUGAAAUGCGCAGAUAUCAGGAAGAACACCAGCGGCGAAGGCGGCGCUCUGGGCCGGAACUGACGCUGAGGAGCGAAAGCGUGGGUAGCAAACA